UUCAAGUUACUGCACGUGGUACAAAUGAGGUUUUGAAGCUUGUUUACAUUUUUUUAUAAGCUUGCUUCCAUAGUGCAUGUACAUAUUAAAUCUUUGGAUCAUAAUCUAAGUAAUUAUAAUUAUAUGUAAAAGGACUCAAUGCUGUCGAACAUAGAAAUUGGAUGAGGAAAAUUCUGAGGAUCAAGCAAAAGUUAAUUGGGCUGUGUAUAGAGUUCUAUUACCUGCAUAUAUAUUUAAUCAUAUAUCCACAUAAGAAAAUACAUGUAUAUCCAAUAUUUAAGAAAACAAUUGGACAGGUAACUACAAUGUUAAAGGGUUAAUAAAUGCUAUUAGUUAUGCUACUAGUAAUACUGUAAUAUCUUCAAGCCAAUUCACUGGCGAUUUGCAAAAAAUUAAUUUGCAUUUUUUUAUCAUGAUUGUGAAGAAGUAUUUGAAACCUGAUAGCUCCCUGAAGCAAAUGCUUUUUUACACUAUAAGAUAGUGGUGUACAGAAAUUACUUCUUACAUCAUUCUUGUUAAUUAAAUAUUGUGUAUGAAGUGUAUCCAUGGGGUGGCAUGGAUGACCUAGUACCAACUUUUAAAAGCUGCUGGUCUUUCAUCACCCUGACUGUUGUCUGGGUUAGAUUCCCAGGCACAGACCAUACGUAAGGUUGAGUUUGUUUGAUGUGUUGACUCCCUUGCCAUGAGGAAUUUUCUCUGGGUCCUCACAUUUUCCUCCCUCAGCAAUUAAUCCGUGCAACUGUACACAAACUAAAUUAGUGCUAUGUUAACUACAUAAUGAAGAACUUGUAUUUAGUAAAUCAUGCACGCAGUAUGCAAAUUAAAUUGAAUUGAUGCAAAUGGAGCAUUCAAUGCUUCAGGUCCACUUUUAGUACAAAUUAGUACUACUUAGAUUUUGUACAGUUGCACAGAUUAAGUGUGAUCACUCUAGUGAGUAAGAGAGUACACUUGUCUACCAAUUAGAGCAAUGAACGCCAUGAACACUUGAAUAAACAGUUAAUUGUGUUAUUUAUUUUUUUCAAUGUCCUCUGCAGCCUAUAAAACACUUCGUGCAGGGAGCAAAUGACAGAAAAAUUAGAGGUGUAUAAUCAGAACAUUAAGGCAUUAUCAAGAUAUAACCAAAAUCAGACUCAGAAGUCAGUGCAUGGGAUGAUCAUAAUGUAAACUAAUGAACUUCUCCAAUAUCAAGAUCAGCACACAGCUUUACAUUCAAAGAUUACCUGUUUUAUUUCUUAAUAAAAGACUUGCAAAGAUUUAA